rnacentral:sRNA from 32 species
UAUCUCUCCGUACGGGGAAGGAUGAGAAGCUUCGACUAAGGUUCGAUUCGAGCGAAAGCGAGAGAACGUUGCCAACGGCAACGGCCCGAAGGGCGAAGCGCGCAGCGCUGAGUCAUCCUUCCCCCACCACCA